UACAUGGGGUGCAAACGUUGCUCGGAAUUACUGGGCGUAAAGCGCACGUAGGCGGAUUUGUAAGUCAGGGGUGAAAUCCCGGGGCUCAACCUCGGAACUGCCUUUGAUACUGCAAAUCUCGAGUCCGGAAGAGGUGAGUGGAAUUCCUAGUGUAGAGGUGAAAUUCGUAGAUAUUAGGAAGAACACCAGUGGCGAAGGCGGCUCACUGGUCCGGUACUGACGCUGAGGUGCGAAAGCGUGGGGAGCAAACAGG
rnacentral:rRNA from 1 species